rnacentral:rRNA from 1 species
GACGAACGCUGGCGGCGUGCUUAACACAUGCAAGUCGAACGGAAAGGCCCUGCUUUUGUGGGGUGCUCGAGUGGCGAACGGGUGAGUAACACGUGAGUAACCUGCCCUUGACUUUGGGAUAACUUCAGGAAAAUGGGGCUAAUACCGGAUAGGAGCUCCUGCUGCAUGGUGGGGGUUGGAAAGUUUCGGCGGUUGGGGAUGGACUCGCGGCUUAUCAGCUUGUUGGUGGGGUAGUGGCUUACCAAGGCUUUGACGGGUAGCCGGCCUGAGAGGGUGACCGGCCACAUUGGGACUGAGAGACGGCCCAGACUCCUACGGGAGGCAGCAGGGGGGAACAUGGCACAAUGGGCGGAAGCCUGAUGCAGCAACGCCGCGUGCGUGAUGACGGCUUUUGGGUGGUAAACCGCUUUCGCCUGUGACGAAGCGGGAGUGACGGUAAUGGGUAAAGAAGCACCGGCUAACUACGUG